UACGUAGGGGCUAGCGUUAUCCGGAAUUACUGGGCGUAAAGGGUGCGUAGGCGGUCUUUCAAGCCAGAAGUGAAAGGCUACGGCUCAACCGUAGUAAGCUUUUGGAACUGUAAGACUUGAGUGCAGGAGAGGAGAGUGGAAUUCCUAGUGUAGCGGUGAAAUGCGUAGAGAUGUGGAGGAACACCAGUGGCGAAGGCGACUCUCUAGUCUGUAUCUGACGCUGAGGUGCAAAAGCGUGGGUAGCAAACAGGAUUAGAUACCCCGGUAGUCCCU
rnacentral:rRNA from 1 species